UUGUAGCUGGCCUCUAGGGGCAUGUGCACGCUCUCUUCCGGACCUUUCGCCGUAUGGGCGCGGGGCGACCCGCGUCUUCAUAUACCUCUUCGUGUAGAAAGUCUUUGAAUGUUUUACCAUCAUCGAGUCGCGACUUCUAGGAGACGCGAUUCUUUGAGAAAAAAGUUAUUACAACUUUCAGCAACGGAUCUCUUGGCUCUCGCAUCGAUGAAGAACGCAGCGAAUCGCGAUAUGUAAUGUGAAUUGCAGAUCUACAGUGAAUCAUCGAAUCUUUGAACGCACCUUGCGCUCCUCGGUGUUCCGAGGAGCAUGCCUGUUUGAGUGUCAGUAAAUUCUCAACCCCUCUCGAUUUGCUUCGAGCGGGUGCUUGGAUGUUGGGGGCUGCCGGAGACACUGGAUUCGUCCAGGACUCGGGCUCCUCUUAAAUGAAUCGGCUCGCGGUCGACUUUCGACUUUGCAUGACAAGGCCUUUGGCGUGAUAAUGAUCGCCGUUCGCCGAAGUG
rnacentral:rRNA from 1 species